rnacentral:misc_RNA from 1 species
CGCACAUUGCGCCCGCCAGCAUUCUGGCGGGCAUGCCUGUUCGAGCGUCAUUUCAACCCUCGAUUUCCCUUUGGGGAAGUCGGCCGUUGGAGAUCGGGGGUCGCAAGACCCACCGGCUCCCAAAUUGAGUGGCGGCCCGUCCGCGGCGACCUCUGCGUAGUAACUCAACUCGUAUUGGAGACCCGACGUUUGGCCAUGCCGUAAAACAACCCAAUUUCUGAAUGUUGACCUCGGAUCAGGUAGGAAUACCCGCUGAACUUAA